UUAAGUGUUGUGAUUAAUUUAGAAAGUCUAAAGAAAUCAUAAAGCGAUAAAGAUCGUUUUGGGCUUAAAGAAACGUUCGGGUUUAAUUGGGCACAUUGGGCCUAAACCCAUUGGGCUUUUAUUCAAGCAUUGGAUGACUUGAAAUAUAUAAAAGUCCAAAGCCCAAAUCCAACACAAAGAGGCCGGCCACUUUAAGUGGAAAGGGAGAGAUAUUUAGUCAAGUGGUUGACUAGGUUUCUUUUUGUCUAUAUAAGGAACUUUAUAGAGAUAUUGUUCAUUAGGGUUUUUGAAGUGUUAAAACAACAAAGAGGCAAAAGAAAAAUAGCUCUCUAACACUACAAAGGCCGGCCACCUUAGGGGUGUUUUUACUAACACAUCUUUCACCCUUUUGGUAAUUCCUUCAUCCUUCUCACUACACUAGUGGGUGAGGAUCUUUAGAGGUUUCCUACUUUGGAAACUUGAA
rnacentral:lncRNA from 1 species